rnacentral:rRNA from 1 species
GGGUCAGUAGGUUGGACGUGCCACCGGUACGUACUGGUCUCACUGAUUCCUCCUUCCUGAAGAACCGUAAUGCCGUUAAUUUGGUGUUGCGGGGAAACAGGACUGUUACUUUGAAAAAAUUAGAGUGUUUAAAGCAAGCUAACGCUUGAAUACAUUAGCAUGGAAUAAUGAAAUAGGACGAUCGAUCCUAUUUUGUUGGUUUCUAGGAUUGACGUA